GAGUUGACUAAAACGCAACAGCCACUUUAAAUUCGCUGCCAUUGUGAACAAAAUGAAGAAAAUGGGACACCGCCAUCUGAAACAGCAGCGAACUACCUUAUCCCCACAGCCAUCUUGGAUUUCUCAAUUGUUAUGUAGUUCGUGGCUGAGUAAUCGUUUCAUUGGCGUUUGUUUCGUUUAUCGAGGCUUUUGAAGCGUGUUUAACCGGAAAAACUCAUUUUCAAGUAUUUUUCCGUAUUUUUUGACAUAAAUAAUAUCCCCAAGGGAUAUCUGAUCUGCUGUUCACACCCCAUAACACCGAAGAAACGAUAAAAUGUCGAUCGGAGUACCGAUUAAAGUGCUGCAUGAGGCUGAGGGCCAUAUCAUAACCUGUGAGACCAACACCGGCGAAGUUUAUCGGGGUAAAUUGAUCGAGGCUGAGGACAAUAUGAAUUGCCAGAUGCAGGGGAUUACUGUGACGUACAGGGAUGGCAGAGUUGCACAGUUGGAGAAUGUUUAUAUUCGAGGAUCGAAGAUUAGGUUUCUCAUACUGCCUGACAUGUUGAAGAAUGCUCCGAUGUUCAAGAGACCGGGGGGAAAGGGCUCGGGGACUGCUGGACGUGGAAAGUCUGCGAUACUACGUGCACAAGAAGGUUUAUCUUCCUGGUAUGAUGUCUCCAGACAGAUCAACUGACUCUCAGUGACCAAAGAUUUCACACUCUAGACCCAUUUGACGAAAGGCCCUUGUUCAUUCGUUCCUUUCUGUUUCUUCUCUGGUUUUAUUUGUUAAAAACAUUCUAAACAUUUCGGUGCUGUUUGGAGAAAAACUAUAAAAACUAUGACAUACUGAGGUGGACUGAAAACAGCUAGACAGAUGAUUCAUUUUUGUACACACAUAUCAAGAAUUGUCAAUGGAAUGACUACGUUUGAGCGAAUAACGUAGCAAAUUCGUUGAACCAUUUUGUUCGGUUUUGGUCCCUUUUUUGGUCUAGGGUGCACGUAAUAGGGUUCCGAAAUUCGUGAUUUAUGUUGUGGAUGAAUUUGGGGGAACAAAAAUUGUCAUAAGACUCCCAGAUGAUCAUAUAAUGCGAAAGAUUUCCAAUAAACUCACGAAAUGUAAUGUAAUGUAAUGUAAUGUAAAUGUAAUUUUUCUAAUUGAAAUGUCUCAUGAGGCAAUGAAAAAUGGCGAUAAUUGGGCGAUUCAGGGGUCAAAUUAAAGGUCUGACAGAACAUGAAAAUUGGGAAAAACCUGUGAUAAGUCGACGGAAGUUCCAUGAAGUGGGAUUUAUGACCCACCAUUUUGAUGAGCUAUUUACACACUUCAAAAUGGUCUUUGACAUGUUCGCAGAGUUUACAUAGGACUUCCAGAGGACGGGGACGAGGACAAAAUCAAAGAGGCCGAGGCACAGGCUCAGCUCCAUGGCUCAAUCAGCAGAAUCAACCUGGAGGCUCGGCUCCGGGCAGAGGAAGGGGUUAAUCAUUUGGAUUUUUACUCUACGCUGAUAAGAUUCUUAGACUUAAGGAACUAUCAUCAUACCCAGCUAUUUUUCUUAACGAACUUCUGAAUAAUUAUUCCAUUCAGGUUUUUUUAUUGAAAAAAUGUGGGGAUAUUUGCUCCGGUAAAUAUCGUUUGUGAAAUAAAAUUAAUGAAAAAGUA